rnacentral:rRNA from 1 species
UACGGAGGGGGCUAGCAUUGUUCGGAAUUACUGGGCGUAAAGCGCACGCAGGCGGCUUUGUAAGUUAGAGGUGAAAGCCCGGGGCUCAACUCCGGAAUUGCCUUUAAGACUGCAUCGCUAGAAUUGUGGAGAGGUAAGUGGAAUUCCGAGUGUAGAGGUGAAAUUCGUAGAUAUUCGGAAGAACACCAGUGGCGAAGGCGACUUACUGGACACAUAUUGACGCUGAGGUGCGAAAGCGUGGGGAGCAAACAGG